ACACAAAGGAAACAUGGUUGAAAAAAGGUUUAGCAAUUAAACCUGAUGAAAAGCCUUACAAAAUGGUCAGAGCCAGACUGAGAAAGAAUAAGUCCUUUGAGCCUCUUGUAGCAUUGUAUGGUCAAUGGCAGACUGAGUUGUACAUCCCACCUGCAGCAGUCGAUGGCAAGGUACCUCGAAAUGAAUAUGGCAAUGUGGAGUUGUUUCAGCCAUCCAUGUUGCCCAUGGGAACAGUGCAUCUUCAAAUAGAAAGAAUUGUUUAUCCUCCCCUGUUGCACUACUCAAGGGAAGACAUAGUUACAAGCACCAUUAGACAUGAGGUAUUCCAUCGAGUUAAUUACAUAGUGCAUCACAAUGAACUUUAUCCAUGUACGUAUUAUUUAGAAUUUCAUCAUGUCAAGAGUAACAAAUCAUUUUUAAGCCAUGGGGGUGUUUUAUCAGAGGAGGAAAGGGAAGGUGGUGGGAAAAUUUGUACCGCUUUAAACUGAACAUUGAAGCGUAGACAUUCCAAAACAGAGCCACAAAAGGUGCAGUAUUCUG